AGUUUGGCAGAGGCCUGCGAGCUGUGCAUCCAGAUAAAUUGGCGAUGAGGCUGAGGGAGCGCGGGGACACCAAGUCAUUGUACCGGAAUUCUGAAAGGAAGCACAUCCAUGAAGUAGAUCCUACUGUUAUCCCAACUUUAGAGAGCAAGGAGCCUGAGGUACAAAGAUGUUAAGUCACUUGCUCAAGGUCACCCAGACAGAAAGUAAUGAAG
rnacentral:lncRNA from 1 species